AGCUCCAAUAGCGUAUAUUAAAUUUGUUGCAGUUAAAAAGCUCGUAGUUGAAAUUCUGAUCAAAACUUUUGGUCUUGCACUUGGUGCAGGUAUCAUUUUGCAUUUGAUCAUUUUUGGGAGAUAUCCAACUGGUAUUAAGUUAUUGGUUGGAGACAGCCCAUCGUUUACUGUGAAGAAAAUAGAGUGUUCAAAGCAGGCUUAAGCCAAUGAAUACAUUAGCAUGGAAUAAUGAAAUAAGAUUUUGUUGCUAUUUUGUUGGUUUAUGUAACAUUAUAAUGAUUAAGAGGGACUGUUGGGGGUAUUUGUAUUCCACUGUCAGAGGUGAAAUUCUUGGAUUUUUGGAAGACACACAACUGCGAAAGCAUUUACCAAGGAUGUUUUCA
rnacentral:rRNA from 1 species